GUGUUUCCUAGAGUUCCCUUGACCGCUUCAUUAGGGUUUACAUUGUUGUUUGAAAAACCCUGUUGAAGUGUUUGGGGGAACUCCGGGGCUCAC
rfam:Solanum tuberosum cultivar DM 1-3 516 R44 scf00243_52, whole genome shotgun sequence.